UACGGAGGGUGCGAGCGUUGUCCGGAAUCACUGGGCGUAAAGGGUGCGUAGGUGGUGAGGUAAGUCGGAUGUGAAAUCUCCGAGCUCAACUCGGAAAUGGCAUUGGAAACUACCUUGCUCGAGGGUUGGAGGGGGGACUGGAAUUCUCGGUGUAGCAGUGAAAUGCGUAGAUAUCGAGAGGAACACCAGUGGCGAAGGCGAGUCCCUGGACAACUCCUGACACUGAGGCACGAAAGCUAGGGGAGCAAACAGG
rnacentral:rRNA from 1 species